AAGAAAGAAAUCUGACUCCCUGCUGUAAGGCCAGAUCAAUAGCACGGCUGGCCUCACCUCUGUCAGCUGCCACCAUAGCACUGGCAGCAUCCUGUAGGGAGGCCCACAGGAGU
rnacentral:snoRNA from 14 species